rnacentral:lncRNA from 1 species
CUCUUUCUUGCUUUGCCUCAUAAUUUUGGACUUACCUAGUAGCUUCUUCUUCUUUUUUUUUUUUUUCCUUUUUCACAUCAGAUGGGAAAUGUGCCAACGUCACAACAAGGUUUGAGGGAGGCACAUCUCAUGCUCGGACAUGAACACCCGAUCAUCAUGCUUAUGAACUACAAAAGGAUCUCCAGUAUGGGCUCACGGCAGGUAAUUGUUUUGAGACUUAUGUCUGAAAUGUUUGUAUCCCACCCAAAUAUUUAAUUGUUAACUUUGAUAGGUGUAGAAUUCUAGGCUAGAAAUAAUUUUUUUCUACAGAAUUCUAAAGUCAUUGUUACAUUAUCUUUUUGCUUCUACUGGGGCUGUUGAGAAAUUCACAGUCAUUUUGGUAUUUUGAGCAAUGAUUUUUACCUUUUUCUGAAAAGUUUUAAAAUUCCCUCUUUUAUGUCUAUUGUUCUGAAAGUUUAAGAUGAUGGAACUUAGUGUGAGUUUAUUUUUAUCUAUUGUACUGAAUAUUUACUGUACCUUUUAAGUCUAGAAACUCAUGCCCUUCAGUACUGAUAAAUUUCUUGGAUUAUUUCUUGUGUCUUUUUUCUUCUAUUUUUCAAGUUCUUUUUCUGAAAUUUUAGUUACUCAGUUGAUGAACUCCUAGAAUGAUUUUCUAUAUUUCUUAUCUUUUAUAUCAUAUCUUCCAUCUUUUUGAUUUUUCAUUCUACUUUCUAAGAGAUUUCCCUAAAUUUAUCUUCUAACUAUUUGACUGAAAUUUUCAUUCUGGCUGUCAAAUUUGAAUUUAUAAUUACUAUCUUGUUUUACAAUUGUUUUCCUUUUGCCAGAAUAUUGUUUUUAUUUAAUAAAUUACAAUAACUUCUCCUAUUUGUCUGAGGAUGUUGAUGAUAGUUUCCUUUUGAAGUUUUUAUUUUCCUGCAGAGUUUUCUAUAAGUUGCUUUUUUUUCCCCCAUAAUAUUUUGGCCUUUACAGUUGGCCCUUGAAUAACAUGAAUUUGAACUGCCUGAGUCUGCUAAUAUGUGGAUUAUCUUCUGCUUCUGCACCCUGAGACAGCAAGACCAACCCUUCCUCUUGCUUCUUUUCCUUAGCCUAUUCAACGUGAAGAUGACUAAGGUUUCCCAGGAUGUACAGAGAAGUCCAGCCUCACCGUAGCACCUGAGCAGUGGGUGGGAAAUAGCUGAGGGACACAUCUCAAUCGAUGAACCAGCACUCCUGAUUCUCUGCAGCCUGCAAACUUCGGGUAAGAGGGGUAAUGGAAUUAGUAGUUCCCAGAUGGCCCUUGGAGGGUGUACUGGGUUGACUCGUGGCCCUCCACAAGAUAUGUCCAAGUCCUAAUCUUUUGUAACUGUGAAUGUGACCUUAUUUGGAAAUAAGUCUUUACAGAUGUAAUUAAGGAUCUUGAAAUAAAAUCAUUCUGAAUUUAGGGUGGGUCCUGUAUCAAAUGAGUAAUGUCUUUAUGAAAAAAAAAAAGAGGGGGAGAUUUGAGGCACAGAGACAAAUCAUUCUGAAUGUAGGGUGGUUCCUGUAUCCAAGCAGUAGUGUCUUUAUGAAAAAAAAAAAAAAAGAGAGAGAGACAGAGGGAGAUUUGAGGCACAGAGACACAGGGAAGAAGGCCAUGUGGAGAUGGAGGCAGACAUUGGAGUGGUGCUGCCACAGCCGGGGAAGGCCAGGAGCUAUCCAAAGAUGGAAGUGACCAGGAAGGAUUCUUCUCCAGGGCCUUUGGAGGAACAGUGGUACUAGCAACACCUUGAUUUUGGACUUCUAGCCUCCAGAACUGUGAAAGAAUACAUUUCUGCUGUUUUCAGCCAUGUAGUUUGUGGUAAUUUGUUAUGACAGCCGUGGGAAAAGAAUCCAGCAGAGAAGAUGUGGGGCCUGAAAUAACUGCUGGGUCAGCAGAGGCCUGGCUUAGUACUGAUUGUACAGAGACAUCUCAGCUGGAGGAAAGGGCAAGAACCACACUUUUCAGCAGCAGGUGCCAG